rnacentral:tRNA from 1 species
UCCCCUGUGGCUCUGUUGGUAGAGUGUGAUGCUUGUAAUGACAGUCUUGUGGGUUCGAUUCCCACAGGGGGAC